AUUGAACGCUGGCGGCAGGCCUAACACAUGCAAGUCGAGCGGAUGAAGGGAGCUUUCUCCUGUAUUCAGCGGCGGACGGGUGAGUAAUUCCUAGGAAUCUGCCUUGUAUUGGGGGAUAACGUCCGGAAACGGGCGCUAAUACCGCAUACGUCCUGAUGGAGAAAGUGGGGGAUCUUCGGACCUCACGCUAUCAGAUGAGCCUAGUUCGGAUUAGCUAGUUGGUGGGGUAAAGGCCUACCAAGGCGACGAUCCGUAACUGGUCUGAGAGGAUGAUCAGUCACACUGGAACUGAGACACGGUCCAGACUCCUACGGGAGGCAGCAGUGGGGAAUAUUGGACAAUGGGCGAAAGCCUGAUCCAGCAAUGCCGCGUGUGUGAAGAAGGUCUUCGGAUUGUAAAGCACUUUAAGUUGGGAGGAAGGGCAGUAAGUUAAUACCUUGCUGUUUUGACGUUACCAAAAGAAUAAGCAUCGGCUAACUUCGUG
rnacentral:rRNA from 1 species